rnacentral:rRNA from 1 species
UUUAAAGAGAGUUUGAUCCUGGCUCAGGACGAACGCUGGCGGCGUGCCUAAUACAUGCAAGUCGAACGAACGGAGGAAGAGCUUGCUCUUCCAAAGUUAGUGGCGGACGGGUGAGUAACACGUGGGCAACCUGCCUGUAAGUUGGGGAUAACUCCGGGAAACCGGGGCUAAUACCGAAUG